CUAAAACAUCAGACUGAUCUAGACACUGAAGAAAUUGAUGUCACUGCAAUCUGGCCAAAAUGAUACAACUAUAUUGAAGUAGCCUACUGUAAUGAAGCUGCAGAACAACACAGAGACUCUGAGGACAUCAACACAGAAAAUGAAGGCUCCAAAGAGAUGUCUGUCCAGAUGAGGGUGCAUCAACUUUACCUUUGCUGACAACAGUUAACUUAACUCAAACCAUUUAAGGAAAUCGGUUGCCUUAAACCAUUAAGUUUUAAAAAACAUACAUUUGAGUACUGUGAACUUAAGUCUUGUGCAAUUAU